UACGUAGGGUGCGAGCGUUAAUCGGAAUUACUGGGCGUAAAGCGCGCGCAGGCGGUCCUUUAAGUCUGAUGUGAAAGCCCACGGCUCAACCGUGGAGGGUCAUUGGAAACUGGGGGACUUGAGUGCAGAAGAGGAAAGCGGAAUUCCACGUGUAGCGGUGAAAUGCGUAGAGAUGUGGAGGAACACCAGUGGCGAAGGCGGCUUUCUGGUCUGUAACUGACGCUGAGGCGCGAAAGCGUGGGGAGCAAACAGG
rnacentral:rRNA from 1 species